rnacentral:lncRNA from 1 species
UAUAUGCUGUUAUUAAUAAAAUUUUAAUUCCUAUUCUACUAAAGAGUUUUCGUCCUUUCUUUGCAUCUAAUUCAUCCCUAUCUCAUGUAAUUUUUCUAAUAUAAUUGUAGCAACAAAUAACAUCUUUCAAUAAAAAUCGACAUAUACCUUCAGUACCCUUUGUUCUUAAUGCUCAUCCUUCAACCAUAUUUGAUAAAUCUUCUUGUGCAAGUACCAAAUACUUUAUUUUUCUAAGUCCCAUUAGCAUUGCUACCAAAUCUAUCACCCAUUUAUAAUAUAAAACUAAAAGACAUGUUCGGUAUAAUCCAUCUUGAUGCCAAAUGUUUGAAUAUACUUAAAAAAUUUCAUAAGAUCUUACAAAAUUUGAUAUAUCUUUGUGCAUGCCAUUCCACCAAUAUUUUUCUUUCAACUUAAUAAAUACUUCUCAAAUAUCCCUAUGCCUAGUCCAUCGACUUUCAUGAAAUUUCUUAAUGAUCUUUUGUUGAGUCUCAAUAAUAUUUACAACUUGUUGUUGUAUUUUUCUUCUUUUCUUUGGAUGCUUCCAUAAAAAUCGAUUUUGAAGAAAAUAUCCAUAUGUUUUCCUUUGAAUCCUUUUAAAUUCUUUGUUCAUCUAAC